rnacentral:rRNA from 1 species
CAGUCGAGCGGACAGAUGGGAGCUUGCUCCCUGAUGUUAGCGGCGGACGGGUGAGUAACACGUGGGUAACCUGCCUGUAAGACUGGGAUAACUCCGGGAAACCGGGGCUAAUACCGGAUGGUUGUUUGAACCGCAUGGUUCAAACAUAAAAGGUGGCUUCGGCUACCACUUACAGAUGGACCCGCGGCGCAUUAGCUAGUUGGUGAGGUAACGGCUCACCAAGGCGACGAUGCGUAGCCGACCUGAGAGGGUGAUCGGCCACACUGGGACUGAGACACGGCCCAGACUCCUACGGGAGGCAGCAGUAGGGAAUCUUCCGCAAUGGACGAAAGUCUGACGGAGCAACGCCGCGUGAGUGAUGAAGGUUUUCGGAUCGUAAAGCUCUGUUGUUAGGGAAGAACAAGUACCGUUCGAAUAGGGCGGUACCUUGACGGUACCUAACCAGAAAGCCACGGCUAACUACGUGCCAGCAGCCGCGGUAAUACGUAGGUGGCAAGCGUUGUCCGGAAUUAUUGGGCGUAAAGGGCUCGCAGGCGGUUUCUUAAGUCUGAUGUGAAAGCCCCCGGCUCAACCGGGGAGGGUCAUUGGAAACUGGGGAACUUGAGUGCAGAAGAGGAGAGUGGAAUUCCACGUGUAGCGGUGAAAUGCGUAGAGAUGUGGAGGAACACCAGUGGCGAAGGCGACUCUCUGGUCUGUAACUGACGCUGAGGAGCGAAAGCGGGGGGGAGCGAACAGGAUUAAAUACCCUGGUAGUCCACCCCCUAAACAAUAAAUUUUAAUUGUUAGGGGGGUUUCCCCCCCCUUU